rnacentral:rRNA from 1 species
UACGUAGGGUGCAAGCGUUAUUCGGAAUUACUGGGCGUAAAGCGUGCGCAGGCGGUUGUUCAAGGCAGAUGUGAAAUCCCCGGGCUUAACCUGGGAAUUGCAUUUGUGACUGCACGGCUAGAGUGUGUCAGAGGGGGGUAGAAUUCCACGUGUAGCAGUGAAAUGCGUAGAUAUGUGGAGGAAUACCGAUGGCGAAGGCAGCCCCCUGGGAUAACACUGACGCUCAUGCACGAAAGCGUGGGGAGCAAACAGG